rnacentral:rRNA from 1 species
UCGGAAUUAUUGGGCGUAAAGCGCGUGUAGGCGGCUUGGCAAGUCGGGUGUGAAAUCCCUCAGCUCAACUGAGGAAGUGCGCCCGAAACUGCUUUGCUUGAGUGCCGGAGAGGAUGGCGGAAUUCCCCAAGUAGAGGUGAAAUUCGUAGAUAUGGGGAGGAACACCGGUGGCGAAGGCGGCCAUCUGGACGGUAACUGACGCUGAGACGCGAAAGCGUGGGUAGCAAACAGG